GAACUUGGAUCCACCCUUUCAUCAGAAUUCUCUUCUGUAAUCGCCAAUUGUUUCUUGACCUUCUCUGACUCUGUCACUUUACCCGUUGGCUUAUUUUUAUUUCCGUUCUCAUUCUCCUCUGCCUUUGGCUUGUGUAAGGCUUCUGAUAUCACUUCAGAUAAGGCCUUAUCUUCCUCUCCAGGCUUCAAUUUCUCUGCUAAAUAGUUUUUCAUUGACACUCCUUUAUCUUGCCCUUUGACUUUGCUUUCUUCUUCAUUUGCAGUUUCAGUGCCCAUUCC
rnacentral:lncRNA from 1 species